AAAAGAUGGGAUUCGGCGAUUACCCCGCUGAAUACAAUCCGAAAAUCCACGGUCCUUACGAUCCGGCACGCUUUUAUGGAAAACGUUCGUAUUAUUCUCGUA
rfam:Oryctes borbonicus contig25492, whole genome shotgun sequence.